CCUACGGGCGGCUGCAGUGGGGAAUAUUGGACAAUGGGCGCAAGCCUGAUCCAGCAAUACCGCGUGUGUGAAGAAGGCCUGAGGGUUGUAAAGCACUUUCAAUGGGAAGGAACACCUAUCGGUUAAUACCCGGUAGACUGACAUUACCCAUACAAGAAGCACCGGCUAACUCCGUGCCAGCAGCCGCGGUAAUACGGAGGGUGCAAGCGUUAAUCGGAAUUACUGGGCGUAAAGCGUGCGUAGGCGGUUUUUUAAGUCAGAUGUGAAAGCCCUGGGCUUAACCUGGGAACUGCAUUUGAUACUGGGGAACUAGAGUUGAGUAGAGGAGAGUGGAAUUUCAGGUGUAGCGGUGAAAUGCGUAGAGAUCUGAAGGAACACCAGUGGCGAAGGCGGCUCUCUGGACUCAAACUGACGCUGAGGUACGAAAGCGUGGGUAGCAAACAGGAUUAGAUACCCCUGUAGUC
rnacentral:rRNA from 1 species